UCAUAAAAAUUUUUCCACAUGGAGCGGUUGAGCUUCUUGAUGAAGGAAAGGCGACUUUCAAAGUAAAUGGUCACAGAUUGAAACCAUAUUUGGGAGGUGAUUUUCCUAAUGAAAAAUCUUCCAUUCCUUUCAAAGAUCCGAAAUAAAGAUUCCCUAUAGUCGAGCUAAGGACUAUAACCAAGCGCUUGUUGGGAGGUAGCCCAACUGUUUUAACUCUUGUUUUAUUUAUUUACUUUUAAUGCUUUUAGUUAUUAUAUUGUUGAACUAAUAUAUUUAUUUUGUAGGAAAUUUUUGAUAUCCCAGCCAUUUCUGGAUCUCCCAGGUUCUGGAACAAUUCAUGUGCAAAGAAGUCUUUGAUCCAAGUGACUCAUGAUCAUCAUAAGUCCAGGAAAUGCAUUGGUUCCACUUUACGAAUGGCUAUUCAGGGAAGUUUCCUUAUUCCACUUUACUUUAGCUUGUUAUUUACACAUUGAGGACAAUGUGUGAAUUAAGUUUGGGGGUGAUGAGCCUUGCCGGCUAUUGCUUUGCUAGAUGUUAGAGCCUUGCCGGCUUUCUUUUUGUGUUUGUACAUAUUUUUUGUGUGUUAUAUCGACAUGUUAGGUGAGCCUUGCCGGCUUUGAAAUGCGUGAUGUUGAAAUUGUUCUUGAUUCAUAAGCUAUGCAUGCGUGCCAAAUAUGCUAUUAUGUGUAAAAAUUUUCGAUUCGAAAAUUGCUUAUUCUAUGUGAGAUCUUGAGUUACAUUGAACAUAGUCAUGAUUAAUUAUCAUUUAGAUGUGGAAAUAGCUGUUUGUUGGAAAAUUUUUGAAUUGGUAAGAACUUAGGUUGUGAGUUACCUGAAACAGUGUAUCAACUUAUGUCUUAUUCUCUUUCACUUUACCUUGUACUGUGAGAAAUGUUGAAUUAGCUAGUUUUUAUUUUCAUUGAAGAUGUAGUAACUGAAUAGGGUGAACAAAAAAGCUGGUGAGACUUUGAGCCGAUAGACUGACAUUUAUUACAAUCUCGUCAUUUCUUUUUGGUGUGACAUUAUUCCAUGAUUAUGAUUUUCUAGAACUUGCGUUGCUUCUUUUCAAGAUCACAUUGAUACAUGUAUACAUGAAUAUGAUUAAGGCAAUUUUUGUUACCACUUUAGCCAAAUAGUUUACCAUGAAACUACUCUUUCCUUUGAUAACCCCUUUGAGCCUAUUUGCCUUUUCUUUGGUUUACCCACAUUACAAGCUUUCAUUUCCAGAAAACAACACUCCACAUUACCCUCAAAGCUAGUGGAGUGUUGUUGGUUUUAUUAAAUGUUGGGUGUGAAAGAAAAGAAGUUUGGGGGUAUCAAUAUCAUUUGAGGUGCUAUGUUGGUGUAAAAAAAAAAAAUUGUUUGACAAGGGAAAAUAUGUGGAGGAGACUGAUUUUGAGUGACUAAAUUUAUAAGUUCUCCUGAGAGUUGAAAGAAGAAAAAGGGUGAUUGUGCUGAAUUGAUGAUAAGUAAGAAGUUAUUGAUUGGAGGGAUAGGGUUGUGUACAGAUCCUGUCUAUGUUGAGUUGAGUUGAAUAUCUUUUACUCCACUGAUUUAUUUGAGGCUUCGUAGUCACUUAUCCAAAUGUUUCAACACCUUAACCUUAAGCCACAUUUCAACCCUGAAAAGACCUUAUGAUUUAUGUAAUGCAUGUGAUCUAAGUGGUGAUGAUUGAGAAAAUAUGCAAGCUUAUGGUAGAACAUUUUCAUUGGAAUGAUCUGAGCGAAACAGUACCCAAUCUUAUACACUUGAGAGUGAGUGAUUAUACUAUCUUGCGAGGUUCUACAUGUUCAGUUACUUUAUCUUCAUCUGAUAACGCAUGCUAGUUGAGUAUUUUUGAUCGAUAAAGAAAAGAGUGUUUGAGAGCAACCUUUAGAUUUACACUUGGGAAAUGAAGUGGAAUAUCUGUAUUUGAGUGUGAAUCUUACGAGCGGGAAAGAAUAUAUUUGACCAUUGAGGGUCGGGUUGGUGCUAAUUUAGAAAUUUUACUGUCUUGAUGGUCUUUUCUUAGUUUAGAUGAUGAUUGAAAAUGGUUAUGCACACGCACACUGAUUGAACAUGGGAUAAGCUGUAAUUAUUUUUUAUAGCAUUAUUUGGAAGUAUGGCUGUGAAUUGAUAUACAAUUUUGAACUCUAUGAUAUUUAUGGCAAGGUAUCUAAUAUGUUGAUCAUUUUUGCAUUUGCUUGAUUAUGUUAGAAAUCAAUCUUGCUCGAGACGAGCAAGAGCUCAAGUUUGGGGGUGUGACAAGUGUGUUUUUACACACUUAUUUAGCACUUUUUGGGACUUUAUUAUUGAUAAAAUUGAGUAGAUUUCUAUUUAUAAUUGUGUAAUUGUUACUUUUGUAGGCUAAAACCCCGGAAAGAAGUAUAACGAGCGAAAAGAGAAGGAAAGGACUUGAAGUGCAAUUACGAAAGGGCUUAAAUGUAAUAAAAGUCAAAUUUUGAGGACCAAAUUGCACUAAAUGAAAGUUGAAGGACCUAAUCUGCAAUUUCGAGAUUUUUUGGUCAACAUUUUUAUUAUUUUAUCCUUAUUUUAUUCUAGAUAUUUUUAGGAUAUUUAUAUUGUGUCUAAUAAUAUCUUUUUUAUAUAUAUUAUAUUUUAUCCUAGAUAUUUUUAGGAUAUUUAUGU
rnacentral:lncRNA from 1 species